CCUACGGGAGGCAGCAGUGAGGAAUAUUGGUCAAUGGCCGUAAGGCUGAACCAGCCAAGUAGCGUGAGGGAAGACUGCCCUAUGGGUUGUAAACCUCUUUUAUGCGGGGAUAAAGGCGUCCACGUGUGGAUGUUUGCAGGUACCGCAUGAAUAAGGACCGGCUAAUUCCGUGCCAGCAGCCGCGGUAAUACGGAAGGUCCGGGCGUUAUCCGGAUUUAUUGGGUUUAAAGGGAGCGUAGGCCGGUCUUUAAGCGUGCCGUGAAAUUUUGUGGCUCAACCAUGAGAGUGCCGCGCGAACUGGAGACCUUGAGUGCGCGGAAGGCAGGCGGAAUUCGUGGUGUAGCGGUGAAAUGCUUAGAUAUCACGAAGAACCCCGAUUGCGAAGGCAGCAUGCCGCAGCGUUACUGACGCUGAAGCUCGAAAGCGCGGGUAUCGAACAGGAUUAGAUACCCUGGUAGUC
rnacentral:rRNA from 1 species